ACAGAUGGGCCGUGGGAGAAGAGAGAUAGGAGGGCAGAGGCGAUCGCCGGUGCAAGCAGGAAAUGCCUUCGCCUCCUCCUGCGGGUUUGCAAAGAGCUCUGAAAAGGACAAAAGUUUUGAAUGAACUUUUUUUCUGUGAAUCUCAACGUAGUAGCUGACUCCAGCACCUUGAAACUCAGCCUGGAGGAGGGAAGAUGUCUCAGUUGGCAAAGUGCUAACCUUGCAAGCUUGCAAUUGAACAAUAACUAGGACAGAAGUAGAACAGAAGGAUGCAGAUACAGAGGGGUCAACUCUAUACAUGAGGAUCAGCAACACAGAGGAAAUGGUAGUGAAGAGCUGUGAGUAAGCAAUCCUCUCGUCGCAUAGUCAUGGCUAUAUCCAUUGUCAUGCUGCCAUAUGGUCCCCACCACGAUGGACUGCAUAUCCUCAAACCACGAGCUGGAUGGACUAAACGUCUCCACCUCUCUAUUGGUUUUUGCCAGGAGAGACCUGAACAGAGCCCUUCUGCACUCCACGAAACACCUGCCUUCCUUUUCAGGACUUCCAUUUCGGUACAGCUGGAAAUAGCCUUGCUGAAUUAAGAGGCACACGAUUUUAAAAUCCAAGGACAUUUUCUUCAAUUUGUACUUCACAAGUAUGUGGGAUAAUUCUCUAGAGCCCCUGCUCUUCAAACAAACAGAACUGGCAUCUUCUGUGAACUCGAAAGGGCGGAACGGUCCCAGGCUCCAUCUAGACUCAUUGAAUGAGACUUUGCUGUUGAAUCAGCUUCCCCAGUGACACAUAAUUCUUAAAUUUGAUAAACAGCCUUCUCUAUAGUUCUUUGCCUGCUCAAAUGGGGGCAUUCGUAAACUUUAAAUAUUGUGUUGUUUAUUUCUCUUUAUUUAAAGAGCAUCGGUACACUAUUACUUUAAUACCAUUUUUCCAGAAUAUUUCCUUAAUCACCCUUAAGUGCAGAGGGUGAUAAUUUAUAGCAUUUACCUUUAUGAAUGUGAAAAUAUUUUUCACUGUACUAAUAUUUAUCAUAUCUUUCAUUUUCCAAGAUUCCUUUGAGGCAUCUGAAGGUGUUUUGGAAAGUUCCUGCGCUGGUCCUUCUGUUUCCUGGGACAUAAGUUAUCUGGGCUGGGAGAUAUAUAUUUAUUGAACAGACCUCUAGGUGAUCCUGCAGACCCGUGGUUCUCAUCCUCUGGGUCAUGACCUCCUUGGUGUGUGGGGGGAGUGGAAUGACCCUUUCCCUGGGGGCUCUUAAGACCAUCGGGAAACACAGACAUUUAAAUUAAAGUUCAUAACAGUAGCAAAAUUACAGUUAUGAAAUUGCAAUGAAGAUAACUUUGUGGUUGGGGGUCACCACCACACUAGGAACUGGCUUAAAGGGCUGCAGCAUUAGGAAGGUUGAGAACUACUCCUGUAGACCAAAAGGAUAUUUGAGAUGUCCAUAUUCUACUUUUGUACACAGCUGCUUGCAGGGAGAAUCUAGCAGAUGACUAUAGAUCCCACACUUUAAUUUUGUUGGUUGUUUCCUCCGUUGAGGCUGCCCCUUCUGUCUUGUGCUGAGAUCCAUGUAUCAAAGCAAAGAGCCUUCCUGUUCUGGCUGGAGGUGUAGGGAGGAACCCAGAGCUGUGAUUGCUCCCCGCUUAGUGCCUAUCUGACCCUGAAUAUGCCAUCUUUUGAGUCAAUCUUUGAUGUUUUGUGCCACUUAUGAAUGUUUAUUCAUCACCCCUCAGAGAUUACAUUUUCCAUAGGUCAGUUUGCUUACCCCUCAGAGCAUCUCUCUCCUGUGCUUACAUGGCCAUUUUCCAGAAUGGAAAUUUGAGAAUCAAAUAAACAAUGGAAAAUGGUGAAAAA
rnacentral:lncRNA from 1 species